rnacentral:rRNA from 1 species
CCUACGGCGGGCUGCAGUGGGGAAUAUUGGACAAUGGGCGAAAGCCUGAUCCAGCCAUGCCGCGUGUGUGAAGAAGGCCUUCGGGUUGUAAAGCACUUUCAGUGGGGAAGAAAGCCUUGGGGCUAAUACCCUCGAGGAAGGACAUCACCCACAGAAGAAGCACCGGCUAACUCCGUGCCAGCAGCCGCGGUAAUACGGAGGGUGCGAGCGUUAAUCGGAAUUACUGGGCGUAAAGCGCGCGUAGGCGGUCUGAUAAGCCGGUUGUGAAAGCCCCGGGCUCAACCUGGGAACGGCAUCCGGAACGGUCAGGCUAGAGUGCAGGAGAGGAAGGUAGAAUUCCCGGUGUAGCGGUGAAAUGCGUAGAGAUCGGGAGGAAUACCAGUGGCGAAGGCGGCCUUCUGGACUGACACUGACGCUGAGGUGCGAAAGCGUGGGUAGCAAACAGGAUUAGAAACCCGAGUAGUC